rnacentral:rRNA from 1 species
GACGAACGCUGGCGGCGUGCUUAACACAUGCAAGUCGAACGGUAAGGCCCUUCGGGGUACACGAGUGGCGAACGGGUGAGUAACACGUGGGUGAUCUGCCCUGCACUUCGGGAUAAGCCUGGGAAACUGGGUCUAAUACCGGAUAGGACUCCUGGCUUCAUGGUUGGGGGUGGAAAGCUUUUGCGGUGUGGGAUGGGACCGCGGCCUAUCAGCUUGUUGGUGGGGUAAUGGCCUACCAAGGCGACGACGGGUAGCCGGCCUGAGAGGGUGACCGGUCACACUGGGACUGAGAUACGGCCCAGACGCCUACGGGAGGCAGCAGUGGGGAAUAGUGCACAAUGGGCGCAAGCCUGAUGCAGCGACGCCGCGUGAGGGAUGACGGCCUUCGGGUUGUAAACCUCUUUCAGCUAUGACGAAGCGCAAGUGACGGUAGUAGCAGAAGAAGGACCGGCCAACUACGUGCCAGCCGCCGCCGUAAGAC